AAGGAAAAAAAGGAAUAGGGAUUAAGAAUAGGAAUAAGGAUGAAAAAAGUAGGGAUAAAGAAUAGGAAUAAGGAAGAAGAAAUAGGGAUUAAGAAUAGGAAUAAGGAAGGAAGAAAAGAAUAUGGAUUAAGAAUAGGAAUAAGGAAGGAAGGACAUACAUUCCCAAACAAAAGUGAGAAAGAGAUCCACUUCAUUAGUAGCUCAGUUUGUAUCAGGAUUUCUAAGCUUCAAUUGGAGGUAAAGCGAAGUUGAGGGCUUACGCUUUAUAAGGCUGCACAUGGCCCCAGUGCUAAUCUCUGUCACAUCAGGGUUCAGGUUUACACACAGAGGCUCUGGCAGGGUUUAAGCUAACACUAAUUAACAGGGUUCAAGCUUUUUAAAAUAGGCUCAAGCAGGGUUCAGGGUUUCACACAGUAUUUGGCAGGGUUCAAGUGUAGCUUUCAACAGAGUUCAGGCUUUAGUAUAGGCUCCAACAGAGUUCAGGGUCAAGCAUAGACUUUAAUGGGGUUUCAGAUUUGCAGGGUUCAAGAUUUUACAGUCUUUGGCAGGUUUAAUUUUACAUUUUGACAAAGUUCAAGCUUUUUAAGACAAAGACUGGCUCCAGCAGGGUUUAGGCUUUUACAGUCUUUGACAGUGUUCAAGCUUUUUAAUACAGGUUCAAAUAGUGUUCAUAGUCUUUGGCAGGGUUCAAGCGUAGAAUUUAACACACCCAAGCUUUUUAUACAGCUCCAUCUGGGUUCAGGCUUCCAUAUAGUCUAUGUAUGGCAGGGUUCAAGCUAUUUAAUACAGGCUCAAUCAAGGUUCAAGCUAUUUAAUACAGGCUCAAUCAAGGUUCAAGCUAUUUAAUACAGGCUCAAUCAAGGUUCAAGCUAUUUAAUACAGGCUCAAUCAAGGUUCAAGCUAUUUAAUACAGGCUCAAUCAAGGUUCAAGCUAUUUAAUACAGGCUCAAUCAAGGUUCAAGCUAUUUAAUACAGGCUCAAUCAAGGUUCAAGCUAUUUAAUACAGGCUCAAUCAAGGUUCAAGCUAUUUAAUACAGGAUCAAUCAAGGUUCAAUCUAUUUAAUGCAGGCUUCAGCAUAACUCAAACUUCUAGGCCCCGGCAGGGUUCAACGAGACACAGUGCUCCCAAGGGCCUCACCGUGCCCCCAGAUUCGGCCGCCUCGGA